CUACACUUCAUCCGCACAAAAAUCCAAACUGUUAACAGUUCAAGGUGUGUCUCUGCUGCUUUGCUGCCCUCUAAUAUUAAGGCUAUAAAUUAUUAUCUCCGCCAGGCAGAGCUCAUAAUAACUAGCAGAUGUCUGAACUUUGCAUGAUGGGGAAGAGAUUUCACAUGGAUUAUCCAAUGACACAGCCUUCCAUAUGCACCAGGGUGUUUCAAGGUAAAGUAAUUUAUAUCCUAGGGUCAUGGGGAGAAGCAGGGCUGGGAGAUCUUUGACAUUCUGUCAUGUUCCUGAAUCAUGUUCCCAUGAAAUGCAGGGUUCUAACUGAAAAAGACAUUUCUUUGGCUUUUACAGAUCUGUUAGCAUANCAGUGGUGUACAGAUAUAGAACCACAGCUGACAAUGUAUUCAGAGGUCUCAAUCGGCAGCCUUCCAGACGCCCCUGGAGUCAGCAUUUUAUUCCCAUUGUUCCAUACCAGUUCCAAGCAGCAGCGGAAGCAGUAUGCUGGAAGAUUUUACACAUCAUAGAUUGUAUUUUUCAGUUUCCUAUUAUGGGUCACUUACCUAAUGCAACAAACAACCUAAAUUAAGGAAUGUAUGCCAAAUUUAAAUGUUUGUUUCAGUUUAUUAAAUUAUUUGGAUGUACUAGAAAAUUUAAGAAUCUUUUGUACAUUUGUGCAGCCUUUUUCCUCUUGUCUACUGAUGUGCAGUAUAUUAACAAAACAAANAGUAGAAGGG
rnacentral:lncRNA from 1 species